rnacentral:rRNA from 1 species
CACCGCGGUUAUACGAGAGGCCCAAGCUGACAGCCCUUCGGCGUAAAGAGUGGUUAGAAUACAAUUAAACUAAAGCCGAAUGUCUCCAAAACUGUUAUACGUACUUGGAGAUAAGAAGAACCCCUACGAAAGUGGCUUUAUCCCUUUGAAUCCACGAAAGCUAUGGUA